GCCUACGGGAGGCAGCAGUCGGGAAUUUUGGGCAAUGGGCGAAAGCCUGACCCAGCAACGCCGCGUGAAGGAUGAAAUCCCUCGGGAUGUAAACUUCGCAAGAACGGGAAGAAUAAGUAAGGGUUAAUAUCCCUUGCGAUGACGGUACUGUUUGUAAGCUCCGGCUAACUCCGUGCCAGCAGCCGCGGUAAU
rnacentral:rRNA from 1 species